GCAAGUAAUGGAACCUGACAAGAAACGUAAAAGUGAUUAGGUUAGCAAAGACGUGAAGGACUAGAGAUUUUUCAUUCAUUUCACAGCUGGAUAUCCUAUCUUUAACUUCAGCAAACCUUUCACAUCCAUUUUAUUCCAUGUGCAUGAAUGCAAGAAAAAGGCAUGCUUCAUUGGCUUAACUUUGGCACAUGACUUCCAUGUCACAAACUCGGUAACUAUCUUCAUGCUUAGAAAAUUAUAUAUUUUUAUCAGAUUCAUCUUUAUGAAUUUGCUCCUUAAUAUUUUCCCCUUUUCUGAAACACACUUGCAUACCCGUUGGUAAAAGCAAA
rnacentral:misc_RNA from 1 species